GAUUUUUUUUAUCGCUUUUUCUUUUAGGGUUCAGAGUUUUCAAUUCUCAUUCUCAAAACAGAUUUCAAAACUUUCAAUCGAUCCUAUUUGAAGCAAAUUUUGAAAUCGAUCCUGAAAACUCCAAACCUAGUCGAAUCGCUCCUAGUCGAAUCGCUCUCAAUCGUUCAAAUCGUUGCCAAUCGUUGAAUCGCUCUCAAUCGUUCAAAUCGUUGUCAAUCGUUGAAUCGCUCUCAAUCGUUAGAAUCGUUGAAUCGCUCGCAAUCGUUCAAAUCCUCAAUCACUGAAUUGCUCUCAACCGUUCAAAUCGUCAAUCACUGAAUCGCUCUCAAUUGUUCUAAUCGCUCUCAAUCGUUCUAAUCGCUCCUAAUAGUGGAAUCACUUCUCAGCCACUGUUUGUUUCAAGCACCGAUUUCAGGUUGAGGUUUACGAAUCAAGAUCGAAUUGUUGUUGUUACAACCGUUUUAAAACUCGCACUCCAAGUGUUCGACAAAUUGCCCAACCAAGUUUAUUUUCCUUUUUUCUUAUGAAUUAUGGUGCUGAAUUUGGUAGCUUUGGCAGAGAACAUGGAUGGUUCUCGUGCUGUAUUAGAAGCUUCAGGUUUAUCUUCGGUGGUUGAGAUUUUGCAAUCCGCAACUUCAUGUGUUGAGAAGGAGUAUUGUGUUUCCGUUUUGUUUUCACUGUGUGCUAAUAUUGAUGGUGAGAUUGUUAGUAUUUUGGUGAAAGUUGGUUAUGUGAUUAUGCCUUUUCUUUAUGCUAUUCUUAUGGAUGGUGUUCCUCCAGUGGAGAAAAGAAAGCAAGAAAACUUAUUAAUGUGUUACAAGAAUUUGACGAGAAUAAAUCUUUGGGCACUCAUUUUGCAUCAAAGAUUACUUAAGUCGAAUUAGUUAGUUUGAAGCUUCUUCCAUUUUCUCCUCCAGAUGCAGAUAAUUUUGAUGAUGAAAGAGUAUAUGCUUUUGACGUUUCGGUCGACAUUGAGGCCUUGCUUCCGCUAGUUAGAGAAUCAGAUGUAAUGGGAGCAGAAUUGUUUUCCUUGAGGCUGGUUUCUGUAGUCCUUUUAUCUUCUCGAAGUAGGCUUUCCUGUUUUACACAUAGCAGGAAUAUUCACAAGAUUGAUGAUCAUGUCCAGAGAGAGAUUAUGAACCAUAGAUAGUUGAAGCAUUAUAAUAUUGUUAGAUUUAAAGAGGACUAUGAAAUAGGAGUUGAUUGGAUCAAUGUAGAAUUUAAGGACAAUCAAGAGUGUUUGGAUCUCUUUGAAAAGGCCAAGGUGGGUUUGGAAAAGUGUAAAAGGUAUUCUCUCGGAUAACACAAAAAUCACAGUGAAACACCUCACUGAUUAUCAUAUGCUGGUGGAGAGGUUGCGUUUGGAGUUCAUAGAAACCUGCUAAGACUAAUUGGAAUCUUUUCAAACUCAACUGAAAGAAUCCUGGUAUAUCCUUUCGUGAAAAAUCUAAGCAUAGCGUAUCAAUUAAGAGAUUUGAAAUAUGAUGAGAAAGGCUUAGAUUGGCCAAAAAGAAAGUGUGUGGCUUUCGGAACUUCACACAGUUUGGAAUAUCUACACGAGCAAUGCAAUCCGAAGAUAAUUCACCAUGAUCGAAAGGCUGCAAAUAUCCUUCUAGAUGAUGAGUUUGAACCGGAAUAUUUGUCAACCGGAAAAUCGUUAGGAGAAAACAGAUGUUCUUGAAUACGGCAUAUCACUUUUUAAUCUUAUCACAGGCCAGCUUGUUAUUGACCUCUCUCGGCUCGACGAUGAGGACGUUUUUCUCAUUGAUGAUGUAACAUUUUCAAUUUUAAUAAAUUUUUAUAAUAUUAUUUCUGUAAAUUUAUUGAUUACAGGGUUUGGAUUAGUUAAUAUAUUUGAU